rnacentral:rRNA from 1 species
GAAAGGGGGCAACCCUGAGUAGAGUGGCGGACGGGUGAGUAACGCAUCGGAAUUUACCCUGUCGUGGGGGAUAACCAAGGGAAACUUUGGCUAAUACCGCAUGAUCUGGUGACAGCAAAGCGGGGGACCUGCAAGGGCCUCGCGCGAUGGGAUGAGUCGAUGUCUGAUUAGCUAGUUGGUAGGGUAAAGGCCUACCAAGGCGACGAUCAGUAGCUGGUCUGAGAGGAUGAUCAGCCACACUGGGACUGAGACACGGCCCAGACUCCUACGGGAGGCAGCAGUGGGGAAUAUUGGACAAUGGGGGCAACCCUGAUCCAGCAAUGCCGCGUGUGUGAAGAAGGCCUGCGGGUUGUAAAGCACUUUUGUCAGGGAAGUAAAGCACUGGGCUAAUACCUUUGUGUGCUGACGGUACCUGAAGAAUAAGCACCGGCUAACUUCGUGCCAGCAGCCGCGGUAAUACGAAGGGUGCGAGCGUUAAUCGGAAUUACUGGGCGUAAAGCGUGCGUAGGUGGCUUGUUAAGUCGGAUGUGAAAGCCCCGGGCUCAACCUGGGAACUGCAUCCGAUACUGGCGAGCUUGGAGUUUGGAAGAGGGUGGUGGAAUUCCCGGUGUAGCGGUGAAAUGCGUAGAGAUCGGGAGGAACAUCAGUGGCGAAGGCGGCCACCUGGUCCAAAACUGACGCUGAUGCACGAAAGCGUGGGGAGCAAACAGG